CCUACGGGGUGCUGCAGUCGAGAAUCAUUCACAAUGGGGGAAACCCUGAUGGUGCGACGCCGCGUGGGGGAAUGAAGGUCUUCGGAUUGUAAACCCCUGUCAUGUGGGAGCAAAUUAAAAAGAUAGUACCACAAGAGGAAGAGACGGCUAACUCUGUGCCAGCAGCCGCGGUAAUACAGAGGUCUCAAGCGUUGUUCGGAAUCACUGGGCGUAAAGCGUGCGUAGGCUGUUUCGUAAGUCGUGUGUGAAAGGCGCGGGCUCAACCCGCGGACGGCACAUGAUACUGCGAGACUAGAGUAAGGGAGGGGGAACCGGAAUUCUCGGUGUAGCAGUGAAAUGCGUAGAUAUCGAGAGGAACACUCGUGGCGAAGGCGGGUUCCUGGACAUUAACUGACGCUGAGGCACGAAGGCCAGGGGAGCGAAAGGGAUUAGAUACCCUAGUAGUC
rnacentral:rRNA from 1 species